rnacentral:rRNA from 1 species
UACCCGCUGAAUUUAAGCAUAUAACUAAGCGGAGGAAAAGAAACCAAAUGGGAUUCCCCUAGUAACGGCGAGUGAACAGGGAACAGCUCAGCGCCAAGUCCUGACACUUGACGUGUUCAGGAGAUGCGGCGUUUAUGUGUUGGUGCAUCGUACACUGUUUCGUAUCUCAAGUUCCUUUGACAGGGGCUCCCAGAGUGGGUGCUAGGCCCAUAGAGAUUGCGAGACUGGUGUACGCAAACCAUCGCAUUUUAGAGUCAGGUUGCUUGAGAGUGCAGCCUAAAGCAGGUGGUAAACUCCAUCUAAGGCUAAAUAUUACAGCGAGACCGAUAGCAAACAAGUACCGUGAGGGAAAGUUGCAAAGAACUUUGAAGAGAGAGUUCAAAAGGACGUGAAACCACUAACAGGCAAACGGGUGGAACCACGAAGUGUGCCUGGGAGGCGAUUCAGUUAUCAAUAUUCCAGUUGGCUGCGGAUUGGGUUGUGGUGGUCUUUUUCAUCUGCCCGUCUGUAGUCUACAAUUGGUGUUGGCAAUGCAUUUCGUCCUUCCAGUGCUAAAGCCACGUCCGAUUAGGUGGCUGGAACGGCCGUAGAGGGUGAUCCAACGAAGGUGGCCGUCUUGCGCUUGCGCUUGGCGGUGUUAUAGCGUUGUGGUCCGUGCCGUUGCCUAGCGUGCUGAUCGGUGCAAGUUCUCCUUUUGGAGUUUUGCUAGUAAUGGGCUGGUGCGCUUGUAGCGUCUUGGCGGCUGCGUUAGUUUGGCCUUUACAUCCUCCGGGUCUGUAAAGACAGAUUAGCGUCGGUUGUCAAUGUGUUGCUUGCGUGAUUGGCUUGUGCAAACGGUGGUGCGAGUAGGUCGGUCUCCACCCGACCCGUCUUGAAACACGGACCAAGGAG